GACCUCCCUUAACCACGGAGCCGGCUCUCCAGGACCUAGAAGGUGUUUUUUGAUUGAGAGGUCUCUUUCCAGCACUUUGGCAGGCAAGUGAGAGGAAUAAACCACAGGACUGUAAUCUCACAGUUUUUUACCAGUCUACUUUGAUCUGUGGAAGUCUUGGCUGAUGGUGAUGUGAUAUCAUCACAUACGCUAGACUUGAGUCAGCAACAAAGGACUUUGGUAAAAUAAUCAGGUGUAGUUCAGCUGGCAGCGUGCUUACCCAGCAGAAGCAAGGCCCUGUGUUUGUCUCCAGCAUCACGCAAAGUGGGUGUGGUUCCGAAUGCCUGUAAUUCAGGCACUCACGAGUGAGAGGCAGAGGGAUUAGAAGUUCAAGGCCAUUCUUGGCUACACAGCAAGUUGGAGGCCAG